GGAUUAGAUACCCUGGUAGUCCGCACAGUAAACGAUGAAUACCAGCUGUUGGCGAUAGACAGUCAGCGGCGCAAGCGAAAGCGUUAAGUAUUCCACCUGGGGAGUACGCCGGCAACGGUGAAACUCAAAGGAAUUGACGGGGGCCCGCACAAGCGGAGGAACAUGUGGUUUAAUUCGAUGAUACGCGAGGAACCUUACCCGGGCUUGAAUUGCAACCGAAUGGGUCAGAGACGGCCCAGCCGCAAGGCGGUUGUGAAGGUGCUGCAUGGUUGUCGUCAGCUCGUGCCG
rnacentral:rRNA from 1 species